rnacentral:rRNA from 1 species
GCAGUAGCCACGGUAAUACGAAGGGUGCAAGCGUUACUCGGAAUUACUGGGCGUAAAGCGUGCGUAGGUGGUGGUUUAAGUCCGUUGUGAAAGCCCUGGGCUCAACCUGGGAAUUGCAGUGGAUACUGGGUCACUAGAGUGUGGUAGAGGAUAGUGGAAUUUCCGGUGUAGCAGUGAAAUGCGUAGAGAUCGGAAGGAACAUCUGUGGCGAAGGCGACUAUCUGGGCCAACACUGACACUGAGGCACGAAAGCGUGGGGAGCAAACAGGAUUAGAUACCCCGGUAGUCCCUGUCUCUUAUAC